UUAUUUUCCAAUUCUUUCUCCAAAGAGAAAAUAUCUAAUAUAUUAAGGUAGAAUUAUUUCGUGGCCAGGUCCUCUUGCCAACCUGGCCAUUUGGGAUCACUAAGAACCGUUCUCACUUCCCUUUAUGGCAACCUCCGAAACCAAGGCGUGACACCAGCCAAAGACCACCCUAGGGUGCUGCAGCAGUCAAGGAAAAGCCGGCCGAGAUCAAGACCAUCACCUAAGAACAGACCAGGAGAAGUCGGCCGAACAACAGUCGACUAGAGUCCACAACAACGGGAACUCCUGAGAAAGUUCAGUUAAGUCCAUAGUUUCUUUCUUAGCUUAAGCAUCGAUCUCUGAUUCGCUGAUUGUAAUUUAUAAGCUGUCAAUUAUUAAUUUGGAUACAUGAUGAAUUAUAUAAGCAAUAAGAUGUAAUUAAAUACCUAAUAGUUGAAUAGAGAAUAUGUGUUGAGAAA